CGGCAUUUGCCGGGGUGCUAUACAUGCAAGUCGAGCGGACAGAUGGGAGCUUGCUCCCUGAUGUUAGCGGCGGACGGGUGAGUAACACGUGGGUAACCUGCCUGUAAGACUGGGAUAACUCCGGGAAACCGGGGCUAAUACCGGAUGGUUGUCUGAACCGCAUGGUUCAGACAUAAAAGGUGGCUUCGGCUACCACUUACAGAUGGACCCGCGGCGCAUUAGCUAGUUGGUGAGGUAACGGCUCACCAAGGCGACGAUGCGUAGCCGACCUGAGAGGGUGAUCGGCCACACUGGGACUGAGACACGGCCCAGACUCCUACGGGAGGCAGCAGUAGGGAAUCUUCCGCAAUGGACGAAAGUCUGACGGAGCAACGCCGCGUGAGUGAUGAAGGUUUUCGGAUCGUAAAGCUCUGUUGUUAGGGAAGAACAAGUGCCGUUCAAAUAGGGCGGCACCUUGACGGUACCUAACCAGAAAGCCACGGCUAACUACGUGCCAGCAGCCGCGGUAAUACGUAGGUGGCAAGCGUUGUCCGGAAUUAUUGGGCGUAAAGGGCUCGCAGGCGGUUUCUUAAGUCUGAUGUGAAAGCCCCCGGCUCAACCGGGGAGGGUCAUUGGAAACUGGGGAACUUGAGUGCAGAAGAGGAGAGUGGAAUUCCACGUGUAGCGGUGAAAUGCGUAGAGAUGUGGAGGAACACCAGUGGCGAAGGCGACUCUCUGGUCUGUAACUGACGCUGAGGAGCGAAAGCGUGGGGAGCGAACAGGAUUAGAUACCCUGGUAGUCCACGCCGUAAACGAUGAGUGCUAAGUGUUAGGGGGGUUUCCGCCCCUUAGUGCUGCAGCUAACGCAUUAAGCACUCCGCCUGGGGAGUACGGUCGCAAGACUGAAACUCAAAGGAAUUGACGGGGGCCCGCACAAGCGGUGGAGCAUGUGGUUUAAUUCGAAGCAACGCGAAGAAACCUUUACCAGGGUCUUGACAUCCUCUGACAUUCCGUAGAGAUAGGACGGUCCCCUUUCGGGGGCAGAGGUGACAGGUGGUUGCAUGGUUGUCGUUCAGCUCGUGUCCUGGAGAUGUUGGGGUUAGAUCCCGCAUCGAAGCGCAACCUUGGAUCUUAGCUUGCAAGCAUUCACUGGGUACUUCUAAAGGUAACUGUCGGUGACAAACCGGAAGGAAAGGUGGGGAUGGACUCUAAAUCCAUCAGUGGCGCUUUAUGAUACCUGGCCUAUACACCGGUGCUACAUGGAACGAAUACAAGGGGCACUAGCCGAAAGACUCGCCGUAUGU
rnacentral:rRNA from 1 species